rnacentral:snRNA from 1 species
GUGCUCAUUUCAGCAGCAUAUAUACUAAAAUUGGAAUGAUACAGAGAAGAUUAGCGUGGCCCCUGCCCAAAGAUGACACGCAAAUUUGUGAAGCAUUCCAUUUUUUU